ACCAAAUCAGUACAAAUUUCAAUUCAGAAACAAGGCGAUUUACAUUGUUUGGACAUGUUGAAUUUUUUUCAAAAGUUUUCCUAACUGAAAAAAUACUGUGAUGUGAGUGUGCAAUAUUUUAUUCAUAUUAUUGGUAUUCAAACUUCUCUACAACACUCUAUUGUAGAGAUCAAUGAUCUCCAUGAAGCUCCAGUUUCUGAAGUCCUCGCUGCUGUAGAGGAACAGCAGGAGCAGGACGUCCUCCAAACUCAGGACAUUCACGCUUCAAUUAGUUCCUCUAAAGAUGAAGCGGAGGAGCCAGACAACACUAAUAGCCAAAUUUUCUGGUGAUAUGAAUUCGGCCCCAAGCUGUUGGGUGAAGGAGGCUAUGGCUAUGUGCAUGCAGGGACUCGAUUCAAGGAAUGCCUUUCGGUUUCAUUUUUUUACUUACUCUUUUUUCACUUACAAAACUUUCCAUAUAUAAAUAUAAAAAGGUGUAACAUAUAAGUUAAUAAUUAGAUAUCUGUCUCAUCUUUUUGAACAGAAUGCUGCCAGAUGAUCUGUGAUUGUGUGCAGCCUGAUCCGCAGCGGAGACUUGUCCCGAAGGAGAUGCAGCUCCAUGACUGGUUCAUGGUCGUGGAGUAAAACAUGGAGAGCAAGAAAAAACAACUACUCUUUGUCACGGCCGAUGUUGUAGUUUUCUUUUUUUGUCUUGGGUCAGGUUUGUGUCUGGCAGGUUGACAUGAGUGACCUUUCCAUCGCUCCGCUUCGGUCUUGGCCUCUUGUUUCCUGGCAGCACCUGCUACCUUGAAGUGGCAUUAUUUAUCAUUUUAGAUAUUUGUAUUAAGAUAUUUGUGUUUGUGAUAGUUAUAAGGAAUUGUAUAAGAAAAAUUUGUAAUUUUUGUAAGUAUAAUAAUAGUAUAAUAAUGUAUUGUUAAUAAGUAUCAUGUGUUAAGAGAAUUUAAGAUAUUUGUAUUUGUAUUAAGAUAUUUAUGUUCUGCGUUAUAUUAGAAGAGUGGCUGUAAUUUGGA